GUGUUGAAUCAUUCUGUAUGGCAAUAAGGUAGGAAGAAACUUCUACAUUAUAAUGGCAAUUAAAAAAAAAAGAAAAAGAAAAGCAGCAGCAGAAAAGCAGCCAGUUCUGAUGUCUGAAUUCUUUCAGCAUAGAUGGAUACAACUUUUAUUUUCAUCCUCUGUCCUUUGUAUGAUACCUACUUCCACAUUCCAUAAAGACUAUCCUACCUGUUUUCGUAAGACUAAAUGCAUUAUUCUCACUUCCAGGGAAGGCUGGCAGGUUGGCCCUACUGGAGCAGCAGCUUCUGUCUUCUCCACUCUUGAGUCCAGUCCCACGACCUAUCCGUGUGUCAACAACACUACAGCAAGUUCCCUGCCACACUGGCUGCUUUACCCUGCUGCCUGCCAGCUCUGGGUAUGCCAGUCUUCAGCUGCUCAGCCUCUUCAGUCUCCUGGUAUGUCUGUACCUGGCCUAGGAGGAUGUGCACACUGCAGAGAGAUCCCUCAAAAUAGCCUUAAAGUGUUUCAACUAUUAUAUCCUCAAUUUGAGUCCCGUAAUAGAGGUCUGACUUGUGUUGGGUACUCACCUUCUUUAAAAAUCAGACCCCUUUCCAGAGCACAAGUAGCUGCAGCACUUCAGGAAGCUUACCAUCUGUGGAUUUAG
ensembl:lncRNA